AAAGGCUUAGGAUAAUUAAGACCAAAGGGCCUUCAAAGCCCUAAGUAGGAGUUAAAAUCUCCUAGCCUUUG
rnacentral:tRNA from 1 species